rnacentral:rRNA from 1 species
UACGUAGGUGGCAAGCGUUGUCCGGAUUUAUUGGGUUUAAAGGGUGCGUAGGCGGCCGCUUAAGUCAGUUGUGAAAUAUCCCGGCUCAACCGGGAGGGUGCGAUUGAUACUGGGCGGCUCGAGUAACAGCGAGGUUGGCGGAAUUGACGGUGUAGCGGUGAAAUGCAUAGAUAUCGUCAAGAACACCGAUAGCGAAGGCAGCCAACUAGGGGUUAACUGACGCU